GCGGAUGUAGCCAAGUGGAUCAGGGCGGUGGAUUGUGAAUCCACCAUGCGCGAAAAGGGAGGACCACGAUU
rnacentral:tRNA from 1 species